UAAAAUAAAAAGAAAUAAAAAACAAAUAAUUGUUUUUCUUUCUCUCUCAAUGAACUCCUCUUUCUCUCACUUCGAGCACCCUUUCUUCUUCCUCUAAGACAACCUCUCCCGCCGCCGCGACCACAACCUCUCACCGGCCGUUUUCUCUCUGACACCACUCGUCCACUGCUCUCUCGCCGAUCUCAGUUCCGUUCAUCGUCCUCCAUUCUCCUCUCACCUCUGUCCUCUGUUCUCCUCACAAUACACUGUUCAUGGUUUAAAAUUUUCCAGAUCUGAGUUGAUGCUUGAUGUACGAACGACAGCGGUGUGGUUGUGUUGGCUGGUGUGAAGUAGAGGGUGGGGCGAAAUGAAGAGUAGGAUUGUCAAUAACAGUUCUGAUGUUUCUUCUUCUCUUUUCUUCUUCUUCAAAUAGAACAGAAAAAAUGGUGAAUUUGAUGAAGCUACCAACUAAUUAACUAUAUGGAGUUCACCAGAAAAUUGCCACUCUUUUGCUACAACUCUCUUCUCUUCUUUAUCUGAAAAAAGUGAACUAAAACAGUUAAGAUGAAUGAAACAUUAAACAAUUUUCAUUUCAUUCAGACAAAAGGUAAAACAACAUUCAUUUUCAAGAGGGAAAGUGUAAGGACAAUUUGAUAGUGACUCUAUCUUGAAAAAUUAUGCCAUGUUGAGUUAAGCAUAUGCCAAAAUAAGAGGCUAGUUGAUUUGGAAAUCACAAAAUGUUUAUUACAGUAACUGUUAAUGAUAGGGAAUGGCAACGGUGGAUGGUGGGAGACGGUGGAGAGAGAAGGCGGUGAGAGGAAAAGGGAAGGAAGGAUUGUCUUACAAAAUUGCCCCUGACUUUUUGUUGUUGGACAAAAUUGCCCCCUAA
rnacentral:lncRNA from 1 species